rnacentral:rRNA from 1 species
AUAUUGGACAAUGGGCGCAAGCCUGAUCCAGCCAUGCCGCGUGAGUGAAGAAGGCCCUCGGGUUGUAAAGCUCUUUUGUCCGGAAAGAAAAGCAUCGGGUUAAUACCCCGGUGGUCUGACGGUACCGGAAGAAUAAGCACCGGCUAACUUCGUGCCAGCAGCCGCGGUAAUACGAAGGGUGCAAGCGUUACUCGGAAUUACUGGGCGUAAAGCGUGCGUAGGUGGUUCGUUAAGGCUGAUGUGAAAGCCCUGGGCUCAACCCGGGAAUGGCAUUGGAAACUGGCGGACUGGAGUGCGGUAGAGGGUAGGGGAAUUCCCGGUGGAGCAGUGAAAUGCGUAGAGAUCGGAAAGAACAACCGUGGCGAAGGCAGCUACCUGGACCGGCACUGACACUGAGGCACGAAAGCGUGGGGAGCAAACA